rnacentral:lncRNA from 1 species
UCCUCCAACCCAAUAUUUUUAUCGGUGUAUUCACGGGUCAAGAUCCAGUUGUAAUAAAUUUGCAUUUGGGAAACCUCUACCCAAUUUUGAGGUAAGUGUUUGUCUUUUGUGUGUGUCCCUCCACGUGACCCUGUUCUUUUUCACUUUUCACCCUUUUCUUUCUUUUCCUUUCUCCAAUUCCAAGAGAACCUCUCUACCCUCUCUACCCUCUCUACUCUCUACUACCAUAGCACCACUACCACUCACCUUCCUUCAGAUCCCAUCUCACUCUAACCAAAAUCACUUUCCAUUCAUUAAUAACUCCACAAACAAAACUUUUUUCACUCUUCACCCACAUAACUAUGUCUCUCUUUCCUUUAACCAUUACCCUUCUUCCUCCUCCUACUCUUCCCCACAUCUACACAAACAUGCUCAUCAAUCAAUAACACAACAAAAUUACAACUGGAGAUGACGAACGAACGAAGUUGCGGAGAUGAAGAUCUGCGAUUACGAACGGCGAAGUUGCUGCUGUGCUACAAUCGAUCAAGUUUCUAUUUUUUAAUGCUGCUUCUGUGCGAUUCUUCUUCUAUUUUUUUUUUAAUUAUUAAUAAUAACAAAACGAAGUCGUUUUGGCCUUUUGGGCGAAAAAAAAACCACGCAUGUAAUAAAACCGGCGGUUCGAGAAAACCGGCGGUUC